GACGAACGCUGGCGGCGUGCUUAACACAUGCAAGUCGAACGGAAAGGCCCUGCUUUUGUGGGGUGCUCGAGUGGCGAACGGGUGAGUAACACGUGAGUAACCUGCCCUUGACUUUGGGAUAACUUCAGGAAACUGGGGCUAAUACCGGAUAGGAGCUCCUGCUGCAUGGUGGGGGUUGGAAAGUUUCGGCGGUUGGGGAUGGACUCGCGGCUUAUCAGCUUGUUGGUGGGGUAGUGGCUUACCAAGGCUUUGACGGGUAGCCGGCCUGAGAGGGUGACCGGCCACAUUGGGACUGAGAUACGGCCCAGACUCCUACGGGAGGCAGCAGUGGGGAAUAUUGCACAAUGGGCGGCAGCCUGAUGCAGCAACGCCGCGUGCGGGAUGACGGCCUUCGGGUUGUAAACCGCUUUCGCCUGUGACGAAGCGUGAGUGACGGUAAUGGGUACAGAAGCACCGGCUAACUACGUG
rnacentral:rRNA from 1 species